rnacentral:lncRNA from 1 species
AUGACCCUUUUCCCUGCAGGCCGACAACGGGACUCAGGAAAUGCAGUUGCAGGAGCCCUGACUGGGGCUGACCCAGGGACGCUGAGAUGGAGGCCUUCGCUGCAGUUGGAGGAGGUGCGGCUGUCUAGUGUGGGGAACAGUGGAGGGAGGAGUCACCUGUCUCCUGCACUGCUCAGGUUCUCACGGCAGACCAGGGGGCGGCUGGAAGGGGGCAACUGGAAGGGCAUGGGGACUGGCACCUGUGUACACUGGCACCUUCCACUAUCUGGAGAGAUGUGGAGAACCCUAGCAGGCACUCUCUUCCACCUUUCUUCUAGGGCUGGGAUGGAAUGCUACCAGGGCGCCUACACUCUGUCUCCAGAAGUAUCCAGGCUCUCCUCUCUGCUGCCCAACAGCAGGUAGCUCCCUUCUCCCCAUUUCAGCAGCUGUUGCCUUUGGUGUGAGUCUCCAGGCCUUGGACAGCCCAGGUGGUAAAUCAUAGGCUUCAGGUUGUUGGGAAGAGACAGAACGUGUGUUUGGAGGCAGCUAGAGUAUAAAAACUAGAUAGAUGACAGCAAGAAUGGACUCUAUGCACAGCUGACUGAGCAGACUCCUUUGAAACAUGAAAAUAAUGAAAGCUCUGCUUCCCCAUCCAGAAAGCUGGUUUCAAGUGAAAAUUCUUGCACCAAAUGUCAGCUUUCAUCUGUAAGAUGAUGCCCUCUGUCGUGUGUCCAGACUGGGUUGACAGAAAGGGGUUCCUGCUUUCUCCUUGGCUCUGUAGGGCUCUGAAGGCUUCUCACUGCCACCCAGCAAUGGCCUUCUGCCUGAAGUGGCUCAUCCUACCUUGGCUGGCCCUCACUCCUCAGGGGUGCUGAGUGUCUGUUGCUCUCCUCAGUAAUGGGGAGGAGGUGAGGGCAGGAGAGCAGGGCAGGCACUUGGCGCCCUCAGUGUUUAGACAUGUAGGGAGACAGAUGGCGUGGGGGACUGGGAGUGUAUACACAGCUCUGCCUCUGUAUAUGUCUGAGGAGCUCACUGAUAAAAUCCAGCGGGCAGGGCCUGCUCCCACCUUCCCCUGCGCAUCAUGCCUGCUGCUGAGUUGGCAUCCUUGAGCCCCACCCCUGCAGAGGUCUCCUCCAAGGCUCAACCGCAAACCCAGCUGGGACCCACAUGCUGGCUGGAGAGAGGAAACUUCAUGCUGAUGUCUGCCCCACUUCUGGGUCAGUGAGACCCAGAAACUAAGAAAGGGACAGAGAAGAGAAACAACUGAGGUGACUGUGCCUGCAAGUUAUAAAGUCCCAUUGCUGCUGAGUGGGUCCUAGAGGUUGUCUUGCCCUUCAGUUGUCUUUCCUCUUGCAAAGGAGGGCUGAGGAAACAGAAUGGCAAAGUGCCUGUCUAGAGUCACAGUGAGUGUUGGGACAAGGCUUCAGGGCUCCUGACAUCUAGUUGUGCAUUCUUUUCAGCAGCCCAGUCCCUUGUGAAAGAACACGUCAACACCAAGGCCUGCCGUGAGCACAUGAAUGGAUACCAACAUGGACCUCAGACCCAGGGCCUCCUGUGGACUUGGGUAAGCCAUAGAAAUCUUGGCCCAUACUUGCCAGGCCUACCGUGGCUCCCUCUGCAGCUAUGGGUGGCAGAGACUGCUGGCUGUUGUGCUCUCACUGUUAUUCCACCCAAACUGAGUGAGCAAUGGACAGGAAUGAGAUGCUGAACCCUUGGGCUUGUUACACAUACAAGUCUAUGCCAAUUGAGGCCUGGGGAGGCAGAGGACAAUGGAGGAAGAUGGUGCCCUCCUAUGGUAGCUGUAGUGUAGUGCAUCGAGCCAGGCUUGCCAAAACCACAACAUCCUGGGAGUGGGGCCAGGCUCCAGAAAUGGGAAAAGGGAAUAUAAUGGGGGAGCUAGUUCCUGGAGGAGGGGAAAUAGUGACCACAGGCCUUGCUGACCUCAGAAAGGCCUCUCUUCUAUAAUGGCAGGGCCUUCCCGAGUCCCUGUAGCCCAACUCUGCUGGUGGUGAAGCCACACAACAGGAAGAUCUGCAUGCUGCUGAGGUGCACACACUCUGUGGCUCUCUCACAAAGUCCUAGCACACAUGGUUCUGUGUGACAAGUCUGCACUCCCUUGUCAGCACGCCUUUAUUUCUUCACUGUGUUUGCCGAUGCUUGGAGAAGAAAAGGUGACACACAAAUUCUAGGUGUGAGGGUCUGGCUGCUCCUUGACACCUCCACCCACCCGAACUCAACAUGUCCCAGGCCAGGAUCCUUGUCAUCCUCCUCAACCAUCUUCUCUAGUCUUUCCUAUCUCAGUGACCAAAUGGCAACAACCGUGUCUUUUAUUUCUCCUUUAUUCCCUAAAUCCACCUGUCCCCGAUGACUGCCACUUCUGUGUCCUCAAGAGGCUCUGUUUCUGUCUCUGUGUUUCUUCCCCUAGUCCAGGCUAUCGUAUCUCUUCCUUCACUGGUCUUCCUGAUCCCACUUCCUGCUCAUCUUCACCUUGACCUUCUUGUUUGGCAGCUGCCACACUGGUCUCCAAACCACAUACAUUGGCUCGCUCCUUGCCCUGACCAAGGCUCUCCAGUGGCUUCCCUUUGUACUCUCAGUAACCUCUGACUCCUCUUCAGGUGGAAUCUGAGCCUCGCCACCUCCCUUGUGUCAUUUCCUGUCCCUCUCUUUUAGUGUGUCCCCAGCACACGGGUCUCACCCCAGCUCCUGUAAUAAGCCAGGUGCCUCUUGCCCAGGAUGUCUCAAGUACCAGUGUCUCAGAGUGGCCUCUCCUAGCCUCUCGUGCUUCUUCCCUGUUCUUCAGUUAGCUACCUAUAUGUCUACCUGUAGUAUUCAUUCCAACCUAAUUACAUGAGCUAUUAUUAGCUCCUCCACUAGAACAUAAGAUCCCUUAAGGCAGGACCACAUCUUUCAUAUUUCACUUAAGCCCAGUGCCUACCAGAGUGCCCAGAAUAUAAUGGGUACUUAGCAAAUGUUUACUGAAUGCAUGAGUAAGCAAAUAAAUAUGAUUCUUCAGAGAGAAGUGCCUUGUGCUACCAUCCUGGGGCUAAUCUUGUGUUCUUAGCUGAUGAUAUCUUCUCUGUAGAUUAAAUCAUUGUCUCCUAUUAAAUGAAAACAUUUCUGGAAGGCCACUAGGAAAACGAAUCAAAAUUGUAAUGAGGAUGUGAUUCACACCCACUAGGAAGGCUACAGUAAAAAAUGGAUAAUAAUGAAUAGUAGUAAGGAUGUAGAGAAAUUGGAAGCCUAGAAGCAUUGCAGAUAGGAACAUAAAAUGUGCUUCUAAAUUUCACUGCUAGGUAUAUCUCCCAAGAAACUGAAAACCCUAUCUGCGCACAAGUUGUAUAUGAAUGUCCACAGCAGCCUUAUUUGUAAUAGCCAAAAUGGAAAAGCACCCCAAAUGACCCAACCAUCCAAACUGGUGAGUGGGUAAAUAAAAUGUGGUAAUUCACACAGCGGAAUAUCACUUAGCCAUAAAAAAGAAUGGAGCACAAUUCCUGUUAUAAUAUGGCCGAACCUUAAAAACAUCACGUUAAAUAGAAGCCAAGUCACAAAGGGCCACAUGUUGCAUGAAUCUAUUUAUAUAAAAUGUCUAUAAUAAGCAAAUCCACAGGGACAGAAAAGAGAUUAGAGGUUGCCAGGGGCUGUAGGGAGAGAGGAAUGGGGAGUGACUGCUAAUGUGCAUGGGUUUCUUUUUGGGGCAAUGAAAGGUCCUGGAAUUAGUGGUGAUGGGAACGUAACUUGGUAACUACACUAAAAAUGACUGGAUUGUAUAUUUUAAAAGGGUAAAUUUUAUGGUAUGUAAAUUGACCUCAAAAUUUAAUUUAAAAAGUGCUGGGAGGGGUAAACCAUGACAUCAUUAUUAGCCAUUCGUGUCUUGGUGUGAGUGAAGAGUAAGAAAGGAGGGCUGGGGAUGUAGCUCAGUGGUGCAGUUGCCUGCCUGGCAAGCACAAGGUCCCGAGUUUGACCCCUGGUACCCCCCACCCCCCAAAAGAGUAAGAAAGGACCAGGACAGGAGCUCAGAGCUGAGGCCACAGAGCCGCCUCUUUCUGCCCGUGGCUAUAGCUGUUUUUCUCCCUUGUUACUGGUUAAAACUUCUACUUUACUUUUGAGGUCUGAACCCAG